rnacentral:lncRNA from 1 species
CCGCUGGGAAGGAUUAGAGGUCGCCAUAAACCUGUACAAACUGUUGGGUUGACAAUGGAGAGUCACUUGAAGUUUUAUGAGGAGGGAAAUUACCUAAGAGUGCAGUGAAACAGUACCAGUACGGGCUAUUUCAGCAAUCCAGGUGAGAAGAGAGGAAGAGAUACAGAUGAGAAUGGUGAACGCGGGAAGAGGGAAGAAAAUGGUGACGCCAUUAUCGUAAGUCAGGAGGAGACGGUCUGUUUUACAGACACCAUGUUGGAGGUUGUGGUGAGUCAUACGUGGAAAUAGGUCUAGCAGACACGCGGGACAUAAACCUGGAGGAGACGGGAGGUGAGAAGGGGGUGACAUAUGAGGCCGAGACAGAGGUUCGGGAGUUACUGAUCCACAUGUGGGAUUUCCUUUGGCUCAGAGCCAAGAGCCAGACCAACUCAGUCUUCCUUUCUUCCAUGAGUAACCCCCAGGGACUUGGCCUCUAUUCCUCCUGUCCUUCAGAGAACCACACUUUCUUUCUCACACAGUGCUUUUCCUCCCUCCACCCCCCGCACUCUCUGUCCCCACUCCAUAGCCUACUGAAUAGUAGAAUCCACUUUCCACACAUCCUCCCACAUCUUCCAGGCUCUGGUUUUAAAGUUUUGCUUUCUAAUUUUUUUAAAGUUUGUUUGUUUGUUUAUUUAUUGAAAGAGAGAGUGCACAAGCAGGGGAGGGGCAGAGAAAUAGAGAGGGAGAAUGGGAAUCCCAAGCAGGCUCUCUAUCAUCAGCAUGGAGCCUGACGUGGGACUCAAACUCACAAGCCGUGAGAUCAUGACCUGAGCCAAAAUCAAGAGUCAGAGGCAAAACCAACUGAGCCACCCAGGCACCUCUUUCUUUCUAAUUUUUUUCAUUAAAAAAAAUUAAGGUUUAUUUUUGUGAGAGAGAUUGACACCAGAGCAAGUGGAGGAGGGGCAGAGAGAGAGGGAGACACAGAAUCUGAGGGAGGCUCCAGGAUCUGAGCUGUUAGCACACACUCCAUUGUGGGGCUGACUCACGCACCUUGAGAUCAUGACCUAGCCAAAGUUGGACGCUCACCCGACUGAGCCACCCAGGCCCCAAACCCUUUCUUUCUAAUUUUUAACUGAGGCUCAAAAUUUGUUGGUUCUUACAGUGAGGGUUCUUUGUCAAUAAUUCCUGAUGUCCUCAGAAAAGGUCAAGCAUCCAGGUCAUGGGCUACUUCCAUAAGACCUUGCCUUAUGACCUUGCCUCUUUCUCCUGACUUUGGCUCACAAUAUCCUCUUCUUUCCAGCCCUAGUAAAGCCUGGAAAUCCCCUUUCUGGCCUUCAGGUGCAUUCAGGACUGCAGAUGUUGGCAGCUGGAAACCCGUGUAAGAAACUGUCCUGACCCAGAUGGUCCUCUUGUGGCCCCUCGUCACAGACUUCUCACCCAUCGUGACCUUUCCCAUAGAAUCACGUGGCCUCUUCCAAUAUGAAUUACAUGCCUUCUUUCUGAAUGCCUCCCAAAUCUCCAAAGUGAGGACUUUUCAAUGUAGAACAUACAACGGCUAGAAUCAAACUAUCUUUCUUGAAUUUUGCCAAGGAUAAAUAUUGCCGCAGAACAGCCAUACCCCGUAACCUACCUCGGAAAACAGAGCUAUGUCUCAGCAUUUCCUCCUAGGAAAUUAUUACUUGACUAGUGUUCCUGCUACUAAGGUAAAGAAAUAGCCUCAAUGUUACGAAGAAUUCAUCUUUCCAGAAUGAAGGCCC